AGUUUUUAGUCCUCCUUCUCCAUUCUCCAUCAGCGUCUUGUCUUCUUGACUUCUUCUCUCUUACUACCUCUACCUUUACUACAUAUCCAGCCAGAUGAGUGUCGACGCGUUCUCCGCCAACAAAACUGACUUCGAGGUCGGCAAAUUCUCUGAGCUCACGCCUCAGCAGA
rnacentral:ribozyme from 1 species